AUUGAACGCUGGCGGCAUGCUUUACACAUGCAAGUCGAACGGCAGCGCGGGCUUCGGCCUGGCGGCGAGUGGCGAACGGGUGAGUAAUACAUCGGAACGUGCCCAGUAGUGGGGGAUAGCUCGGCGAAAGCCGGAUUAAUACCGCAUACGACCUGAGGGUGAAAGCGGGGGAUCUUCGGACCUCGCGCUAUUGGAGCGGCCGAUGGCAGAUUAGCUAGUUGGUGGGGUAAAGGCCUACCAAGGCGACGAUCUGUAGCUGGUCUGAGAGGACGACCAGCCACACUGGGACUGAGACACAGCCCAGACUCCUACGGGAGGCAGCAGUGGGGAAUUUUGGACAAUGGGCGAAAGCCUGAUCCAGCAAUGCCGCGUGUGUGAUGAAGGCCUUCGGGUUGUAAAGCACUUUUGGCGGGAACGAAAAGGACUGUGCCAAUACCACGGUUCGAUGACGGUACCCGCAGAAUAAGCACCGGCUAACUACGUG
rnacentral:rRNA from 1 species